GAUGAACGCUGGCGGUAUGCUUAACACAUGCAAGUCGAACGGUCUCUUCGGAGAUAGUGGCGGACGGGUGAGUAACGCGUGAGAAUCUGGCUCUAGGUCUGGGACAACCAUUGGAAACGGUGGCUAAUACCGGAUGUGCCGAAAGGUGAAAGGUUAACUGCCUGGAGAUGAGCUCGCGUCUGAUUAGCUAGUUGGUAGGGUAAGAGCUUACCAAGGCGACGAUCAGUAGCUGGUCUGAGAGGACGAUCAGCCACACUGGGACUGAGACAC
rnacentral:rRNA from 2 species